rnacentral:rRNA from 1 species
UACGUAGGGGGCAAGCGUUGUCCGGAAUUAUUGGGCGUAAAGAGCUCGUAGGCGGUCUGUCGCGUCUGCUGUGAAAACUCGGGGCUUAACCCCGGGCCUGCAGUGGGUACGGGCAGACUAGAGUGCGGUAGGGGAGACUGGAAUUCCCGGUGUAGAGGUGAAAUUCGUAGAUAUCGGGAGGAACACCAGUGGCGAAGGCGGCUCUCUGGACAGAUACUGACGCUGAGGCGCGAAAGCGUGGGAAGCAAACAGG